GACGUAGGGCGCGAGCGUUGUCCGGAUUUAUUGGGCGUAAAGAGCUCGUAGGCGGUUUGUCGCGUCGGCUGUGAAAUCCCGUGGCUCAACUGCGGGCUUGCAGCCGAUACGGGCAGGCUAGAGUUCGGUAGGGGAGACUGGAAUUCCUGGUGUAGCGGUGAAAUGCGCAGAUAUCAGGAGGAACACCGGUGGCGAAGGUGGCAUCCUGGACCAUUACUGACGCUGAGGCGCGAAAGCUAGGGGAGCAAACGGG
rnacentral:rRNA from 1 species